rnacentral:rRNA from 1 species
GACGAACGCUGGCGGCGUGCUUAACACAUGCAAGUCGAACGAAGUGGCGAACGGGUGAGUAACGCGUAAUCAACCUGCUCUUCAGAGGGGGACAACAGUUGAAAACGACUGCUAAUACCGCAUACUGAAGGAGGGGAUUGCGUCUGAUUGGCUAGUUGGAGGGGUAACGGCCCACCAAAGCGAUGAUCAGUAGUCGGUCGGGUAAGAUGAACGGCCACGUUUGGACUGAGUCACGGCCCAAAUUUCAACGGGAGGAAGCAGUGGGGAAUCUACCGAAAAGGAGGUAAGACUGGCGGAGCAACGGCGCGGUAGUGAUGACGGACUUCCGGGUGUAAAGGUCUGUUAAGCGGGACGCGGUACCGGAAUAGAAAGCCACGGCUAACUACGUGCCAGCAGCCGCGGUAAUAC